CCCUAUGGGGUGCAGCAGGAGCCUUACAAGACGCCCGUGGGAUGGCUGCGUUGUUAUCGGGGCAUAGAUACCGUCACCGCUCUGGUGCUGCUCGCGGAACUGUAUGCCUUUUCCCGGUUUUCGUCGGCGCGUGACUUGAUGUCGUUCUUGGGUCUGACUCCCAGCGAGGAUUCGACGGGGGAGAAGCGAAGGAAAGGAAAUAUUACAAAAACCGGCAACUCCCAUGUCCGCCGCCUGCUGGUGGAAGCCGCAUGGCAUCAGCGCCUGCGGGUGCAUGUGGGAGGGGCUUUGCGAAAGCGGAGAAAGGAACAACCCGCGUGGAUCAUUGCCGAAGCGGAUAAGGCCAUGCGGCGGUUGCAUAAACGCUACCACGUUCUUCUGAAUAAGGGAAAACCCAAGCAAGUGGUGGUGACGGCCAUCGCCCAGGAAUUGGCGGGGGGGC
rnacentral:rRNA from 1 species